AAAAGCAUGGCACCAAAUUUUAGCUCCAAUAUUCAUGCUCAUAUGAACUACAUCUACAACAUUUGAGAUGGAAAAUUUUCUAACAAAAUUUACAUUCAAAGAAACAAGAAUAAAGCUUGUAACAUAUUACAACUUUUAAAUCACAAAACUAUGAACCACAAAACCCAAAAGGAUUCACCAACUACUAGACCUAGGCUCUGAUACCA
rnacentral:lncRNA from 1 species